UUUCUUCUAUGUAGUUACGAGAGAUUAUAUAUGUAAACACUCAUCUAACCAUCAUAAACAAGUAACUGGGCUGAGUAAUUUCUCUGCUCUUUUCUUCUACAUAUAAAAUAACGACAGAUUGGACUAGAUACUCCAACAACUCGUAACAAGCGAAGAACUAGGCACGGUAGUUGAAGAGGGUGGUAGUGAGGAGCUAGGAAGAGCGGGAAGGAAAGCAAGGUAAUUGGGUAAGAAUAGUUAGGGAUGGUGUGAAGGGUGGCUGUUACCGGCUGGCUGUUUUCUUCGUUUUAGGCUUCCGCGGUGUGCCUUAGUUCUUCCCCGGACGCCAAGCAGGAAGGUGGCUGGUGAGGAGGGCACUGGGAACUUCACGGCGCCCUGGUGUAAUCGCCCCGCAGUCACGGACCCUUGAGGCAACGCAAAGAUUGCUGCUAUUUAAAGGACACCUAAAUCUAGAGAAGUAUCCCGAGUGUUGGUAGAGGAACAGUCUUCCACAAUAAAGUGACGCAUUAGUCCUGGGACAAUCCUUGGACCUGUUCUGGUGAAUCUUAACCAGAAGCGGACACCAUUCAAGAGAACUUCAACGGAGCGUUGGAAGACCCAAGACCCUCCAGUGCACCAGUGGUAGUGGUGGUGGUGCCCAGUGUACUCACUUGCAACAUAAUUUCUCUCACUGUCAGACUUGUUGGCUGGUUGUGAUGCUGGUAAAUAAGCAAUUUGAGUUCCCAAAGAGUUCAGAAGACUCUGCCACUUAGUUUUAUUUUUUAUUUUAUUUAUUUAUUUUUUAUUUUUUUUUGUUUUAUUCUUGGAAGUGGUGUGCAUCAUCUCCGGACAGUCGUUUAAGUAACAUUUAGGAAUGCUUAAAGGAGCGUGAAGGUUGUCACCCAAGUUUUUUUAUUGCUUCUGUUCCUUUUUUUUUUGUCCAUUUGUUCAUUUAAGUGCAUAUGCAGCUACGAAAAAGCUGAAAAAUUGGGUAAUUACAAAAAUACUGGGAAACUGCGUAACUGAAUUUAGAAUUUAAGUGUGCACUGAUGCAAGCUACCAAUAUUACACUUGUUUUUUAA